UGUGUAGGCGGGAGUCUAAGUCAGUGGUGAAAUCUCACAGCUCAACUGUGAAACUGCCAUUGAAACUGGAUUUCUUGAGUAUAGUUGAGGUAGGCGGAAUGUGUUAUGUAGCGGUGAAAUGCUUAGAUAUUACACAGAACACCGAUUGCGAAGGCAGCUUACUAAGCUAUUACUGACGCUGAUGCACGAAAGCGUGGGGAGCGAACAGGAUUAGAUACCCUGGUAGUCC
rnacentral:rRNA from 1 species